rnacentral:rRNA from 1 species
GACCGAUAGUGAACCAGUACCGUGAGGGAAAGGCGAAAAGAACCCCGGCGAGGGGAGUGAAAAAGAACCUGAAACCGUGUACGUACAAGCAGUGGGAGCCCCACCACCAAAGCAUUUGCUGUACCGCGUUGACGGAGCGAAGCGACGUCAAACCGAUAAAACAGCAGUGUAAAGUGAGCCGCAGGGCGCUUUGCGCGACAGCGCAAAGGCAGGCGGUUUCGCGUAGCGAAAGCGAAUGCUUUGGGGUGGGGUGACUGCGUACCUUUUGUAUAAUGGGUCAGCGACUUAUAUUCUGUAGCAAGGUUAACCGAAUAGGGGAGCCGGAGGGAAACCGAGUCUUAAUUGGGCGUUAAGUUGCAGGGUAUAGACCCGAAACCCGGUGAUCUAGCCAUGGGCAGGUUGAAGGUUGGGUAACACUAACUGGAGGACCGAACCGACUAAUGUUGAAAAAUUAGCGGAUGACCUGUGGCUGGGGGUGAAAGGCCAAUCAAACCGGGAGAUAGCUGGUUCUCCCCGAAAGCUAUUUAGGUAGCGCCUCGUGAAUUCAUCUCCGGGGGUAGAGCACUGUUUCGGCUAGGGGGCCAUCCCGGCUUACCAACCCGAUGCAAACUGCGAAUACCGGAGAAUGUUAUCACGGGAGACACACGGCGGGUGCUAACGUCCGUCGUGAAGAGGGAAACAACCCAGACCGCCAGCUAAGGUCCCAAAGUCAUGGUUAAGUGGGAAACGAUGUGGGAAGGCCCAGACAGCCAGGAUGUUGGCUUAGAAGCAGCCAUCAUUUAAAGAAAGCGUAAUAGCUCACUGGUCGAGUCGGCCUGCGCGGAAGAUGUAACGGGGCUAAACCAUGCACCGAAGCUGCGGCAGCGACACUGUGUGUUGUUGGGUAGGGGAGCGUUCUGUAAGCCUGUGAAGGUGUGUCGUGAGGCAUGCUGGAGGUAUCAGAAGUGCGAAUGCUGACAUAAGUAACGAUAAAGCGGGUGAAAAGCCCGCUCGCCGGAAGACCAAGGGUUCCUGUCCAACGUUAAUCGGGGCAGGGUGAGUCGACCCCUAAGGCGAGGCCGAAAGGCGUAGUCGAUGGGAAACGGGUUAAUAUUCCCGUACUUGGUGUUACUGCGAAGGGGGGACGGAGAAGGCUAUGUUGGCCGGGCGACGGUUGUCCCGGUUUAAGCGUGUAGGUGUGUGUUCCAGGUAAAUCCGGUUCACUUUAACACUGAGGCGUGACGACGAGGCACUACGGUGCUGAAGCAACAAAUGCCCUGCUUCCAGGAAAAGCCUCUAAGCAUCAGGUAACAUCAAAUCGUACCCCAAACCGACACAGGUGGUCAGGUAGAGAAUACCAAGGCGCUUGAGAGAACUCGGGUGAAGGAACUAGGCAAAAUGGUGCCGUAACUUCGGGAGAAGGCACGCUGACACGUAGGUGAAGUGAUUUACUCAUGGAGCUGAAGUCAGUCGAAGAUACCAGCUGGCUGCAACUGUUUAUUAAAAACACAGCACUGUGCAAACACGAAAGUGGACGUAUACGGUGUGACGCCUGCCCGGUGCCGGAAGGUUAAUUGAUGGGGUCAGCGCAAGCGAAGCUCCUGAUCGAAGCCCCGGUAAACGGCGGCCGUAACUAUAACGGUCCUAAGGUAGCGAAAUUCCUUGUCGGGUAAGUUCCGACCUGCACGAAUGGCGUAAUGAUGGCCAGGCUGUCUCCACCCGAGACUCAGUGAAAUUGAACUCGCUGUGAAGAUGCAGUGUACCCGCGGCAAGACGGAAAGACCCCGUGAACCUUUACUAUAGCUUGACACUGAACAUUGAGCCUUGAUGUGUAGGAUAGG